rnacentral:rRNA from 1 species
GCAUAUCAAUAAGCGGAGGAAAAGAAACCAACAGGGAUUGCCUCAGUAACGGCGAGUGAAGCGGCAAAAGCUCAAAUUUGAAAUCUAGCACUUUCAGUGUUCGAGUUGUAAUUUGAAGAAGGUAACUUUGGUUUUGGCUCUUGUCUAUGUUCCUUGGAACAGGACGUCACAGAGGGUGAGAAUCCCGUGCGAUGAGAUGCCCAAUUCCAUGUAAAGUGCUUUCGAAGAGUCGAGUUGUUUGGGAAUGCAGCUCUAAGUGGGUGGUAAAUUCCAUCUAAAGCUAAAUAUUGGCGAGAGACCGAUAGCGAACAAGUACAGUGAUGGAAAGAUGAAAAGAACUUUGAAAAGAGAGUGAAAAAGUACGUGAAAUUGUUGAAAGGGAAGGGCUUGAGAUCAGACUUGGUAUUUUGCGUUCCCUUCCUUUUUGGUUGGGUUCCUCGCAGUUUACUGGGCCAGCAUCGGUUUGGAUGGUAGGAUAAUGACAUUGGAAUGUAGCUUUACUUCGGUGAAGUGUUAUAGACUUUGUUGAUACUGCCUAUCUAGACCGAGGACUGCGUCUUUGACUAGGAUGCUGGCGUAAUGAUCUUAAGCCGCCCGUCUUGAAACACGGACC